AUUUUUGCUUUCUUAUGUGACUCUCUUGGAAAAUGUGCAGUAAGAAGUUCCUCAAAAAUAAAAUUUUUACCCUUCAAAGGAAAAAAAAGAAUAAAAUUCCCCAACUUAACAAUUAUUAAUGUGCAUAUGAAUCAUAUGGGAAUAUUAUUAAUGUGUCAGAGGUUGAAGAAGUGGCCAGAAAAAGAAAAGUAUUUUGAUGGCAGGCUGGAGAACAUCAUGAGAGUAAACUUUAGGCCUGUUGACUGUCAUUUUGGCAAUGUAUUGGGCCCUGGCCAAAGUGCUUGGAUGCAACGUGGGGCCAAUCAAUAAAUCCAUCCCCCAUGCUUUUCCUGGCCAUGAGGUAAUCGGCAGCCUAGUUCAUGUCUUGAUGGGAACCUUUGCCAUGUGGAAGGAUCACAUCUCAGGUUUCUUGACAACUGGAUGACUUUUGAGAACAAAGAUCUAGGACAGAUCUAUUCUUGGAUUGUGGACAGGCAUCAGCCUACUAACAUCAUAUGGAACAGGUCUCCUUUACAGAAAGGGGCUUGGAUAAGGAGGAAAGACCAUCAGAAGAAAAGAUAAGACACUGUCUUCUCAUUCCAGUAAGAGCCACAUGCAAGGCAAGGUAAGGCCUUUGGGCUGUUCCUAUGGAGUCUG
rnacentral:lncRNA from 1 species